GUACACUGGUGGGAUCGUGAGCCGUCCUUGCUAGUCGGCCGGUCUCGUGGGCGAAUAGUGUGGCCACACUUUCGUCGCACUGUGAUAUGAUGAUUGAGGAUUGAUGGAUUGAUGAGAAGAGUGGGGAGAUAAACUGCCUGGCCAGACUUGAAAUAUUUUUGUGUUCUCGUGAUAUUUUCUUAACUACUUAUAAAACUCGAGAUCACUGGUUGAGCGGGAUGUUGCGGUGGAUGUUGAGUUGGCCUAGGAACUUUGGAUGCGUUGUGUCUUCAUACAUAGGCGUCAUCCUUGACUCUCUUUAAACCUUAAUUCCGCUGCUAUAUUUUGAACUAUGCCACAAGACUUUAUUCUAUUUCGUAUUGUGUUUGAGCAUGUUUAACUGUGUUAGGCUUAAACCUUGUGUUUAUCUUGUUACUCUAAAAUGGAUUUUCCGUGAACUCAACCAAAUGUUUUCUUUUAGAAGUUUAUUGGGUUUUAAUACUCUUUUUCUCCGCCGCUUCUUUUGAAAGAUAUUUAUCAUAAGUCGUCUCUAAUUAAUAGUAAAGUUAUAACCUUAAAUUUCUUUAAGCUAAAACUUUUUUUCUCCUCUAAACUAAUUGAGUUUUCUCUUAAAGUGUUAUCCUUGUAUGUUGUCGUGAUUGUCGUCCCUUGGUCACGAUCGUCGCGUUUGUAGUACCCCUAGUAUGGGCGGUCGUGACACUCUCUCUCUCACUCCAAACGUCUAUCCCUCUCUCCAGGUCUCUGCAAUUCGUCUUCCCAUUUUCCACCACUCUUCAAACCCUAGCCGCCACUGUUUUUUGUCGGGUAUCUCCAGAAAGUGAUCGUUUUCGUCGGUUUCACUCUCCAACUCGCACCCCGGUAGCGCGUGAACAAAUUGUUGAAGGCGUCGACAAGGAAUCCCACCGGAUCAGAAGCGAUUGAUUUUCGUCGGAAAGCAGCGUGAAGAUGGCCUAACAAUUGCUGAUUACAACAUACAGAAAGCAGCGAAGCAGCUGAGAUUCAGGAACAAUGAAGUGAAAAAAAGUCCCAGAUAAAUACUGUGAAAGCAGAUGGACGUAGAUGAAUCUGUACAUUGUUAAACUAGUAGUAUACAUUAUGUAUCAAAUAUUAUGCAUUAUUUGACCGUUGUGUACAUAGGUGAAUGGGUGAAAGUCAUAUUUCUUUGUGCA